CCGGGCGGCAGCAGUGGGGAAUAUUGGACAAUGGGCGAAAGCCUGAUCCAGCCAUGCCGCGUGUGUGAAGAAGGCCUUCGGGUUGUAAAGCACUUUCAGUGGGGAAGAAAGCCUUGGGGCUAAUACCCUCGAGGAAGGACAUCACCCACAGAAGAAGCACCGGCUAACUCCGUGCCAGCAGCCGCGGUAAUACGGAGGGUGCGAGCGUUAAUCGGAAUUACUGGGCGUAAAGCGCGCGUAGGCGGUCUGAUAAGCCGGUUGUGAAAGCCCCGGGCUCAACCUGGGAACGGCAUCCGGAACUGUCAGGCUAGAGUGCAGGAGAGGAAGGUAGAAUUCCCGGUGUAGCGGUGAAAUGCGUAGAGAUCGGGAGGAAUACCAGUGGCGAAGGCGGCCUUCUGGACUGACACUGACGCUGAGGUGCGAAAGCGUGGGUAGCAAACAGGAUUAGAUACCCUAGUAGUC
rnacentral:rRNA from 1 species